rnacentral:rRNA from 1 species
UACGUAGGGGGCAAGCGUUAUCCGGAUUUACUGGGUGUAAAGGGAGCGUAGACGGCAUGGCAAGUCAGAUGUGAAAGCCCGGGGCUCAACCCCGGGACUGCAUUUGAAACUGUCAGGCUGGAGUGCAGGAGAGGUAAGCGGAAUUCCUAGUGUAGCGGUGAAAUGCGUAGAUAUUAGGAGGAACACCAGUGGCGAAGGCGGCCUACUGGACUGUAACUGACGUUGAGGCUCGAAAGCGUGGGGAGCAAACAGG